AAGUCCUGAGGAGACGACGCCCACAACGUAAACAAACCGCCAUAACCUGAAUUCAUUAUUUGCCUUAAUAAUUACCAUUAAAUUUUCCAGUUCAUUAGUAAAUUAUCUAAAUUUUUAGUUAUAUUCCCACGAUUGCUUACAAUUGUCCACCAAUUAACUUAUUAGAAUGAAUGAAAACAAGCCAAACCACUUCUAAACCAGAAUCGCAAACAUAAACACUGUCAAAUAGAAGACACCCAAAAUGUCAACAAACUGACGCCAUUGACUGCCUCAGUAGCUUUCUGCCUAAAUUCUAUUCAAAGGUCUUUUAUCUUCUGUAAUAAUUGCCGUCCUAGUCAUCGAGGCAAUUCAUAAUUAAGCGUAGUAGUUGAUAAAUUUCAAAUAUAACUGAUAAAUAGUGUAAUAGUGUGGGUGUAAAAGGACCGUGAGAGUCAGGAAUGAAGUGUGCAAGUGGUGUCUUGGGCGUAGCCCUAGAGUGUCAUUCAAUCAAUCUAUCAUAAGUAAAUAAUUUGUGAAGCACCAAAUGCAGACUUGGUGAGAGGACCUUGGAAAUUAAAGUUACAGUCCAUAAUUGUCGAAAAGGAACUGUUUUUUCAUCUUGUUGGAAACUUGUUAAGACUGUUGUGCAUUUUAUUUUUCUAUAACCUGUUUUGUUAUAAAUGAUCAUUGGUAAUCUGUGAAGGAACAUGUUUUCUAUGAAUUGUGUUAACUUUCCUCAAUAACAUACUCUAGGU